rnacentral:rRNA from 1 species
CAGCCGCACUGGGACUGAGACACGGCCCAGACUCCUACGGGAGGCAGCAGUGGGGAAUUUUGGACAAUGGGCGAAAGCCUGAUCCAGCAAUGCCGCGUGUGGGAAGAAGGCCUUCGGGUUGUAAACCACUUUUGUACGGAACGAAACGGUUCGCUUUAAUACAGUGGGCUAAUGACGGUACCGUAAGAAUAAGCACCGGCUAACUACGUGCCAGCAGCCGCGGUAAUACGUAGGGUGCGAGCGUUAAUCGGAAUUACUGGGCAUAAAGCGUGCGCAGGCGGCUAUAUAAGACAGUUGUGAAAUCCCCGGGCUCAACCUGGGAAUUGCAUCUGUGACUGUAUAGCUAGAGUACGGUAGAGGGGAUGGA